UCCUCGCAGCUUUGCUGAAACUGCACAAAAAAGGCAACCGGGGGGGGGACACACACGAGGUUAUUUUUUGAUUUUAUUUUUCUCUGGUUAAAAGGCGAAUCCUCCUCCUCCCUUCCUCCCUCUCUCUCCUUCCCUCCCUCUCCCCCCCUCUCUACUGGAAGAUCUUUUUUAUUUUCUCUUGCUGCCUCCUAAGCUGGCAACGUCCUGCGAGCGGCUAUUUUGCUUUUGCACCGAGAGAAGAGCUUCCUCCCUCGCCCUCUCUCUUGACACCUAUGGAUGAAAUCCACACUGGUGUCUAACCUGUAAUGAGUGCCAAUGUUUUGACCUUUCAAUAGAGAGCUGAUUUUGGAGAAUGGCUUACUCCUGUGAUUGAAAAACUCUCUGGAAGGUUGAUGGAGCAUGAGCAUGGAGAAUCUUUCAUUGAAAUUGCUGCAGUGAGAAUGGAAAUUACUUGAGCUCCUUUCCUUUUAAAAGCUGCAUGCAAGAACUGUGUGGUGAGUCAAAUGUAGACUAAUGGUUAUGUAAAUGUCACUAAUUUUAGAUACAGAUCUGAAAGUGUGUUUCCUUUUAAGAUUUUAUUUUCUUCACUAUCAUGACUCAGUAUCACUUGCUAAUCUAAUUUUAUUAGCCCUGUUGUAUUUUACCAUUUAAAAUACACAUACCUUAUCCAAAUAGGUCUUCACAGAGUCAAGUUAAUACAUCAUAUAUGUUUUAAAAAGAGGAAAAAAGGCUUAUCUGCACUCAAGAGUUGUUUUGAUUUUAGCCUUCACAGAACCGCUACUGGUGCAGUUGCACAGGUACAGACAUGAUGUAGAUAAAUAUGAAUCCAAGUUGUUAUAAUUCAUUAGUUUGCAUUAUUUGACCAUAUUUCAUAAUUUCAGACUGGUAAAAUCACAUUCUCAUUUUCUACUACUGCUAUGAAUUAGAACUGACAAAAUUGCUAAUAGCUAAAUUUCCGAUUUAGUUCAGACCUGAGCAGUUCUCAAUAGCACAGCUAUGCAGAAUUAGAUAGCCUACAGCUUUUCAUAAAGAACAUAUGUGUGCACAUUUACCUACUACAUUUCUCUUAAGACACAUGACCAAAAUGAAGUUGACUACUUAGAAAAAAAUAUCCUAUCUGGCUCAAAGCUGGAUAGCUUUCUCAUUGAGUUUCUUUAGGUAAGUUUCUUUAGGGAGUUUCUUUUCUUUCUUUCAACCUAUGUAACUGCUAAAUAUUCAAGAUCUGCACAUAUACUUCAGCCAUUUGAGAACUUAGAAUGCUUGGAAAGACCUUAAAGGUCUCUGCUUUUUUCAUUAUGCUGCAGACUGGUGCUUGCAGCAGGCCCAUCCAUCCAGUUGCUCUUGUAGAUCUAGUAUUUUAAUGUACCCAGGAUUUUUCCCAGAGACUUCCAUGAGUAGAUGUGAAUCUAAAGAGCUGAUCAAAGACUUGAGAGCAUACAACAAAUAAGUCUAUUUGCCUGGCUUUGUCAAAGUCCAGUGGCCAAACUGUUUGUUCCUGACUACUUCAUUGUACUCAUGUUGGCCUUUGUGAGAAGAGUGAAGCAGCCUGUGCUUCCUUCUGGUUCACCAUGCAAACUCCUAUCACUGGCACAAGGGCAGGAAAUAGCAGGGAGCAGGAAGAAGCAGAAGGGCAAAGGUUGGAGUGCCUUGUUCGGUGGCCCUAGCAGCACAGAAUAGUUCAGUGACAUGGUGAAAACACAGUUUGAGCAUUUGCAGAACCAGAGUUCAACUGAGGAGCCAAAGUUCCUGUCUGGAUAAGAAAACUACUUCAAGUGCUUCUGAAGGCCUACUCAAAUGAUUCACUUCCUAAACCUUUAAAAAGGAUGUUACAUUUCUCACAUGGUUCUCAGGUGGCUUAAUAUUAGCAGUUAGAUUUUUCCAGAGGUUUGCCUGUAUGGGUGGUGCCAGAGACUGUGGCUGGAUCAAACUCACUUCAUGUUGCGGCUCUGGGAUCCAAAGGAGUGUGCCUGAUGUAAGAAAGGAAGGUUCACUGUUUUCAGUUCAAGUGCUUAUUUUCUGCUAGGCUUAGGAACUGUAUGGGAAAAAGAUGCUUAAUUUACAUAAAAAGGCAAGAAAAUAUAGGCCUGCUUGAAAAUAAACUGAGACUAAUAGCUGUAUAUGAGUGAAGACAACUGGUUUUAGGAGCAUGUCUAAAAGUGCGAUGUUAAAAGGUUGGAGCUGAGAACAGAUACGGGAAGAUCUGAUGAACUGGAAAAUCAGAAUGAUUGAAAUAUGUUGGGCAAAGAUUUGGGGGUUUGUUUGUUUAUUGAAAUUGGAGAAGCAGCAGCCUGACAGAGGGGAUCUGGCUUGAGGCAAAGAGAACAAGUCAGGUUUAGGGAAAGAGGC